GAUGAACGCUGGCGGCGUGCCUAAUACAUGCAAGUCGAGCGAACGGACGAGAAGCUUGCUUCUCUGAUGUUAGCGGCGGACGGGUGAGUAACACGUGGAUAACCUACCUAUAAGACUGGGAUAACUUCGGGAAACCGGAGCUAAUACCGGAUGAUAUUUUGAACCGCAUGGUUCAAAAGUGAAAGACGGUCUUGCUGUCACUUAUAGAUGGAUCCGCGCUGCAUUAGCUAGUUGGUAAGGUAACGGCUUACCAAGGCAACGAUGCAUAGCCGACCUGAGAGGGUGAUCGGCCACACUGGAACUGAGACACGGUCCAGACUCCUACGGGAGGCAGCAGUAGGGAAUCUUCCGCAAUGGGCGAAAGCCUGACGGAGCAACGCCGCGUGAGUGAUGAAGGUCUUCGGAUCGUNAAACUCUGUUAUUAGGGAAGAACAUAUGUGUAAGUAACUGUGCACAUCUUGACGGUACCUAGUCAGAAAGCCACGGCUAACUACGUGCCAGCAGCCGCGGUAAUACGUAGGUGGCAAGCGUUAUCCGGAAUUAUUGGGCGUAAAGCGCGCGUAGGCGGUUUUUUAGUCUGAUGUGAAAGCCCACGGCUCAACCGUGGAGGGUCAUUGGAAACUGGAAAACUUGAGUGCAGAAGAGGAAAGUGGAAUUCCAUGUGUAGCGGUGAAAUGCGCAGAGAUAUGGAGGAACACCAGUGGCGAAGGCGACUUUCUGGUCUGUAACUGACGCUGAUGUGCGAAAGCGUGGGGAUCAAACAGGAUUAGAUACCCUGGUAGUCCACGCCGUAAACGAUGAGUGCUAAGUGUUAGGGGGUUUCCGCCCCUUAGUGCUGCAGCUAACGCAUUAAGCACUCCGCCUGGGGAGUACGACCGCAAGGUUGAAACUCAAAGGAAUUGACGGGGACCCGCACAAGCGGUGGAGCAUGUGGUUUAAUUCGAAGCAACGCGAAGAACCUUACCAAAUCUUGACAUCCUUUGACAACUCUAGAGAUAGAGCCUUCCCCUUCGGGGGACAAAGUGACAGGUGGUGCAUGGUUGUCGUCAGCUCGUGUCGUGAGAUGUUGGGUUAAGUCCCGCAACGAGCGCAACCCUUAAGCUUAGUUGCCAUCAUUAAGUUGGGCACUCUAAGUUGACUGCCGGUGACAAACCGGAGGAAGGUGGGGAUGACGUCAAAUCAUCAUGCCCCUUAUGAUUUGGGCUACACACGUGCUACAAUGGACAAUACAAAGGGCAGCGAAACCGCGAGGUCAAGCAAAUCCCAUAAAGUUGUUCUCAGUUCGGAUUGUAGUCUGCAACUCGACUACAUGAAGCUGGAAUCGCUAGUAAUCGUAGAUCAGCAUGCUACGGUGAAUACGUUCCCGGGUCU
rnacentral:rRNA from 1 species